CUUCUUCACCCACAGCUACUUCCAUAUUUGCACUAAAGGAGAUUCAGCUACAAAAGGAGGCCAGCCUUCGGUCUUCGUCAAUGCCUGACUCAGGCAGGCCAGCUUUCCGCGUGGUGGACACCGAGUUCUAAGUCACAGACUGAGGUCCCAGCAGGCAGCAGCUGGAGGGAUGCCACACCCCUCGCAGGGCAGCCCCCCAUCUGCAUCCUCCCUGCUUGCUGCCUGACUACCUGCCUGAGCCAUGUUCACUUGCCCACUUGUCCCCUGCUGCCUGCCCGAACACCUGACCAUUGGCUUGUCAACUCACCCAUUGGCCUGUCUGCUGGGUGCUAACAAAGCUCUCAUCACUCCUUCACCUGGUCUGUCUGUCUUUCUCUGUCUCGGUAGUUGCCGGCGGACAGCAUGGCCGUGCCAGCUUCCCACACUCAGGCCAAGGCUACCCCUCAUCAUACCUUCCCCCAGGACCACUAUCCUACAGCCAGCCAGGGGUCUGGAACUAGCCCAGGCUGGGGAUCUUGACUCAGACAAGAUGGUGAUGAUGCCUUGGGUCUGAGACAGCCCCUGCCUGCUUUCCUGCCUGCCCCACCUGCCUCAUGUUGUGUGGGCCUUUUUUUGUUUGUUUCAUUCAUUGUUUUUUUAAUUAUUUUAAAGGAGGUUUUCAUUUUUUUAAAUGCAAUAUCUCUGUAUACAGACUGGCUGGGCCCCACUCCCUACCUGUGGCCCUCCCACAGUAUUUUGUGCAAUGAAGCCCCGCCCCCAGCCUUUCAGAGGCAGGGACACAGCCCCUAUUUGGAACCCUAACUACCACCAGACCCUGGGAUGGGCUAUGGGAAAGCAUGCCACGGUCACUCGCCUUCCUACCCCGCCUACCAUCCCCAGCUGCAGGGGGAUCUGGAGACUGCUGGAGACUCUGGGAAACGGACAAGGUGGGGGGACCCCACUCUUUCCCUCCUGCAGUCCUGUAGCCUAGGCCUCCUUCCUUCUCAGGGUCUCCCCAGCCCAGCCCUUCUGCUCCCAUCCCAUUCGGUGCUGUUGAGUAGGGGCCCUGCCAGGAACUGACCAACUCAGCAAGGAGCCAUACUGUGUAUAUGUACACAAGCAGGGUCGGGAAGCAUGAGGGGUUGUGCCCAGGUGUUGCCUCCUAAACUCUGGGGGAGGGUGGGGCAGGGCAAGGGACAGUCUCCAGGGUUCAGUCCCUGGAUGGGUGGUUACCUCCCCUCCCUCCACCCUAAGCCCUGGGGCCCUGAAAUGGGAUGGGAGGGCGGGGUGGGCGCCCUCCUAGUGGGAUUUGGGGGGUUGGGUUCCUGAAUGCACCAUAAUCGCUGUAUGAAAUAUUAAAAAGUCUAAAGUGAAAA